AUUGAACGCUGGCGGCAGGCCUAACACAUACAAGUCGAGCGAGCGGCGGACGGUUGAGUAAUGUCUGGGAAACUGCCUGUUGGAGGGGGAUAACUACUGGAAACGGUAGCUAAUACCGCAUACCAUCAGAUUUCCCCAGAUGGGAUUAGCUAGUAGCUGGGGUAAUGGCUCACCUAGGCGACGAUCCCUAGCUGGGCUGAGAGGAUGACCAGCAACACUGGAACUGAGACACGGUCCAGACUCCGACGGGAGGCAGCAGAGGGGAAUAUUGGACAAUGGGCGCAAGCCUGAUACAGCAAUGCCGCGUGUGUGAAGAAGGCCUUCGGGUUGUAAAGCACUUUCAGCGGGGAGGCGUUACCCGCAGAAGAAGCACCGGCUAACUCCGUGCCAGCAGCCGCGGUAAUUC
rnacentral:rRNA from 1 species